GUGCUCACUUUGGCAGCACACAUAUUAAGAUUAGAACAAUGCUGAGAAGACUGGUAUGGGUCCUGCCCAAGAAUGACUUGCAAGUUGGUGAAACAUUCCCUGUUAAA
rnacentral:snRNA from 1 species